GACGAACGCUGGCGGCGUGCUUAACACAUGCAAGUCGAACGGAAAGGCCCUGCUUUUGUGGGGUGCUCGAGUGGCGAACGGGUGAGUAACACGUGAGUAACCUGCCCUUGACUUUGGGAUAACUUCAGGAAACUGGGGCUAAUACCGGAUAUGAGCUCCUGCUGCAUGGUGGGGGUUGGAAAGUUUCGGCGGUUGGGGAUGGACUCGCGGCUUAUCAGCUUGUUGGUGGGGUAGUGGCUUACCAAGGCUUUGACGGGUAGCCGGCCUGAGAGGGUGACCGGCCACAUUGGGACUGGGAUACGGCCCAGACUCCUACGGGAGGCAGCAGUGGGGAAUAUUGCACGAUGGGCGGAAGCCUGAUGCAGCAACGCCGCGUGCGGGAUGACGGCCUUCGGGUUGUAAACCGCUUUCGCCUGUGACGAAGCGUGAGUGACGGUAAUGGGUAAAGAAGCACCGGCUAACUACGUG
rnacentral:rRNA from 1 species